rnacentral:rRNA from 1 species
GAACGCAUAGCGCCGUUGGGUUUUCCCUUCGGCACGUCUGGUUCAGGGUUGUUUAUAUCUACUACAGUGUAGCUUGUGACA